AAGGGAACGCGGUGAGACACCGCGGCUGUGCCCGCAACUGUAGGCGGCGAGACGGACGAUCACUCCGGGGCUUCGGCUUCGGCGUCACUGGGCAACCGGGAAGGCGCGAUCCUCCGUUUUUGACCCGCAAGCCAGGAAACCU
rnacentral:ncRNA from 1 species